rnacentral:lncRNA from 1 species
UCAUCUUUGCACUACGGCCAAAGAUAUUCAUCAACAGACCAUCUUUGCACUACAGGCCAAAGAUAUUCAACAACAGGUCAUCUUUGCACUACGGGCCAAAGAUAUUCAUCAACAAUUCAUCUUUCCACUACAGGCCAAAGAUAUUCAUCAACAGUUCAUAUUCGCACUACAAGCCAAAUAUAUUCAUCAACAGUUCAUAUUUAACUACAG